rnacentral:lncRNA from 1 species
CAUUUCCAAUGUUUUUUUCUGUCGCCUUUAUCCCCCAUAUAUAGCUCUUUAGCUGUACACAUAUUCGAGCACUCCAUCAUCCAAUUCAUGCGACCGCAUAUGCAAAAUUGUUAUGUUUGACUGCAUAUUAACGCCAAGAUUUGAUUUUUUUUUUUUGAAUGAUUUUCAACCUACAAACAAGGAAGUUAACCUGCAGCCCAGUUGAGAAAGAUUCAUGAAAGAGGAGAGGAUGAGGAUGAAGCUUCAAGAUUUUAAUACUGAGGAAAGUCCGCAAUCAAUCAAUCCACAAUGAGCAAAAAGGAAGAGAUGAAUCAGACAAGUGGCGAAGUCAAUAAAAUAGCCCAAAAGAAAGCUGAAAAGGAGACAUUGCAGAGAGAGAGAGAGAGAGGUAGCAGAAGACGGGAGAGAGAGAGAGCGGAGGUCGGAAGACGGGGGGAAGUAAAGUAAGAGAAUGACGAAAAAGGCCUCGUCCACAGACACAUAGAGAGAGAGGGUACUUGGAAAGGACAAGUGGCGGAGGAGAGAGAGAGAGCGAGGAAGGUGACACGUUGGUCUGACUGAAUUGGCCCUUUUUUGGUGCUGUCCUCUAAUCAAAGUGUCUUGAUAGCUAGUGUUCCAGAUGGGUAGUGCUACGCUGUGCUCCACCCCACUGCACACCUCUCCCAUUUCUACGGCUCUGAUGAUUUUUCACAAUUACUCUACCCUCCAAAUCGUCUUACUUUUUGGUUAUCCCACUACAACUUGAUCAUAUAAUCAUAUGAUGCCCGAAUCUUCAUUGAUUUGCUCCAUAAUUUAACAUGGAUAUUCCUAAUUUCCUCAAAUUUAUAAAUUCCUCAGCUUCAGAUGCAAAUAUAGCAUUAUUCCCAACCUAUUUAAAAAGUCAUUUCAAAGUUUUUAUAUUCUCACAUUUGUAAAUAAAUAUUGCCAAAUUUAUAGGAAUAAAAAUCCAAUUUUAUUAUGUUAAUUAUGAAUAAAGCAUAAUUUUACUCCCUCCGUCCCACUGUAAGUGAGACCUUUUUUUUGGGCACGAGAAUUAAGAAAGGUGUAUUUUGUGUAUAGGUGAAAAAGUGAAAAUUAGGGUUGGCCUGAAAUCAUAUAGGGCUGAGUAAAAAAUAAUGCGUUCUCUUGAUUAUAUGAAAAUUUUCUCAUUAUUAGAUUUUCAACUUCAUUACUUUACUUUUGAAAAUUAGUACUAUGAUAAAAUAUUUUUUCCAAAAGUUUAUGAAAUGUAUUUUAAUUCAAAUAUUAGAAUUUCAGUAUUAGAAAGUUAUACUGGUCAUUUCACUUCUUUGUAUUUUUAAUUUAAUACUUAACAUAAAAUAUUUAAGAUGUAAAAAUUAAAAAAUAAUAAUUACGUAUUUAAUAAAAAUAUUGCAUUUGUAUAUCUUUGAGAGUUGCAUAUUAGGAGUAGUUAUUAAUGAUGAUUAGAAUAAUUUGAUAAUCCCAUCAAAUUAGCCCAAAACUUGAUGGAUUGACUUUUUUUUUUUUUUGAGGAGGAUGGAUUGACUCUAUUAAUAUCCCUAAUCUCAAAUUAACCAGCAUUAAAUCCUCUCGAACGUUCGAUUUCUUUGUUAAGUGAAUUAAUUAGUUUUCAAGUGACGUGAUUAGCAGAGUAAGUGGGUGCAGGGGGAGACCGGUCCCAGGGUAGCAGGGCCCGGGGGUGAAUAAGAGAGAGAAAG